UACGGAGGGUGCAAGCGUUGUCCGGAAUUAUUGGGCGUAAAGAGCUCGUAGGCGGUUUGUCGCGUCGGCUGUGAAAACCCGGGGCUCAACCCCGGGCCUGCAGUCGAUACGGGCAAACUAGAGUGUGGUAGGGGAGACUGGAAUUCCUGGUGUAGCGGUGAAAUGCGCAGAUAUCAGGAGGAACACCGGUGGCGAAGGCGGGUCUCUGGGCCAUAACUGACGCUGAGGAGCGAAAGCGUGGGGAGCGAACAGG
rnacentral:rRNA from 1 species